AGCCACGGGACGCAGCACCAAUCGCGGCGCUCCUCCGCCUCAGGGUUCGGUUUGAAAUUCUGCGCAGGCCUAACGGCUCGCGGAACGGCUACCGGGAGUGAGACCGCCGGUGCUUGCGGGUGGUUGCUGCGCUCGGGCCCGCGUGGAGAGGGUCGGGGCCUCGACGCCCGCUCGCUUGGAGCGUCCACCAUGAGGAGAAGUGAGGUGCUGGCAGAGGAGUCCAUAGUAUGUCUACAGAAAGCCCUGAAUCACCUUCGGGAAAUAUGGGAAUUGAUUGGGAUUCCAGAGGACCAGCGGUUACAAAGAACUGAGGUCGUAAAGAAGCAUAUCAAGGACCUCCUGGAUAUGAUGAUUGCUGAAGAGGAAAGCCUGAAGGAAAGGCUCAUCAAAAGCAUAGCCAUCUGCCAAAAAGAGCUGAACACUCUGUGCAGUGAGCUACAUGUCGAGCCAUUUCAGGAAGAAGGAGAGACGACCAUCUUGCAGCUAGAAAAGGAUUUGCGCACUCAGGUAGAACUGAUGAGAAAACAGAAAAAGGAGAGAAAACAAGAACUGAAACUACUUCAAGAACAAGAUCAAGAACUGUGUGAAAUUCUUUGCACGCCCCACUAUGACAUUGACAGCACCUCAGUUCCCAGCUUAGAAGAGCUGAGCCAGUUUAGACAACACGUGGCAACUCUGAGGGAAACAAAGGCAUCUAGGCAUGAGGAGUUCGUCAACAUAAAGAGACAGAUCAUACUGUGUAUGGAAGAAUUAGAACACACACCAGACACAAGCUUUGAAAGAGAUGUGGUCUGUGAAGAUGAAGAUGCCUUUUGUUUAUCUUUGGAAAAUAUUGCAACACUACAGAAGUUGCUACAGCAGCUGGAAAUGCGAAAAUCACAAAACGAAGCAGUGUGUGAGGGGCUGCGUGCUCAGAUACGAGAACUCUGGGAUAGGUUGCAAAUACCUGCAGAAGAGAGAGAAGCUGUGGCCACAGUUAUGACUGGGUCAAAGGCCAAGGUCCGGAAAGCGCUGCAAUUAGAAGUGGAUCGGUUGGAAGAACUGAAAAUGCAAAACAUGAAGAAAGUGAUUGAGGCAAUACGAGUGGAGCUGGCUCAGUACUGGGACCAGUGUUUUUAUAGCCAGGAGCAGAGACAAGCUUUUGCCCCUUACUAUUCUGAGGACUAUACAGAAAAUCUGCUUCAGCUCCAUGAUGCCGAGAUUGUGCAGUUAAGAAACUACUAUGAGGUUCACAAAGAACUCUUUGAAGGUGUCCAGAAGUGGGAAGAAAGCUGGAAGCUUUUCUUAGAGUUCGAGAGAAAGGCUUCAGAUCCAAGUCGAUUUACAAAUCGUGGAGGAAAUCUUCUAAAAGAAGAAAAGCAGCGAGCCAAGCUCCAAAAGACACUCCCUAAGUUGGAAGAGGAGUUGAAAGCAAGGAUUGAAAUGUGGGAACAGGAGCAUUCAAAGGCAUUUGUGGUGAAUGGGCAGAAGUUCAUGGAGUAUGUAACAGAACAGUGGGAGAUGCACCGACUGGAGAAAGAGAGAGCCAAGCAGGAACGACAACUAAAGAACAAGAAGCAAACUGAGACAGAGAUGCUCUAUGGUAGUACUCCGCGAACACCCAACAAGCGGCGAGGACUGACACCUGGCACGCCGGGCAAAGUGCGCAAGCUGAACACUACCACUGUGUCCAAUGCUACGGCCAACAGCAGCAUUCGGCCUGUCUUUUCGGGGACAGUCUGCCGCUCCCCUGUGUCUCGCCUUCCACCUUCUGGCAGCAAGCCAGUCACCACUUCCACCUGUUCGGGGAAAAAAACACCCCGUGGCCUCAAGCGUGGAGCCAACAAGGAGAACCUGGAGCUCAAUGGCAGCAUCCUCAGCGGUGGGUACCCUGCCUCGGCCCCCCCACGGCGCAACUUCAGCAUUAAUUCUGUUGCCAGCACCUAUUCUGAGUUUGCGGUAAUUCACCUUUUCUAAUAUCUACCAGUCCCUGGGGAGCACACAGUUGGGGCAGAGUGGGUAUCUUCCCAAGGGCACCCAGGCUAUUAGUUAGGACAGUUCUUUGGAGGCUGAGAAUCCCUUUCCUGACUUGACCAUGGCAUGAGGUGGGGUGGUUUAAGGGUGGUGUAUAGGAAGAAAGAUGGCAGCAGCAAGCAGACAUUUAACCUGGAUCCUUCUGCUUAAGAAAUACCACUCCCUGGCUGCAGGAGGUGAACCUUCUCAUCACUGCCCUGGUGCUCUCUUGGUGGAGUUCUUGGUAAUUGUCUCAAUUCUUUGUUCUUAAAAGGAUCCAUCCCUGUUGAUCCAUCCCAACAGCUCCACUGUUGGGCUUCAGCGAGAACUUUCAAAGGCUUCCAAAUCUGAUGCUACUUCUCGAAUCCUCAAUUCAACCAACAUCCAGUCCUGAGAAGCCCUGAUCAGUCAUCCAGCUGAGGUUUCCUAUGCCCUGUGCCUAAUUAUACAGGGGUGGCUUUAAUGUUUCUUCAGUUUAGAUGUGCUUGAAAGCCUGGAUAGGUUCCAUUACCAUGGGCCUAACUUACAGAAGUGAAUGAGUUACAGAUGAGAGUCCAUCAUAAGCUUAGUACGUCCUUAAACACUUGGUUUUAUUUUGACUCAAGAAAUACAUUAAAACAUAGUUCAUAGCAGUAAGUGUAAAUUUUAGCAUAUGGAACCUAAUUUCUUUCCCUACCCCGUAAUUGUACUUGCUAAAGCAUGAUCAAGGGCUUGUUUUACUUCACCAUUGUGUAGUUAAAUGAUUGACUAUGCCCAAGCUUGGGGUAUGGGACAUGAAGCAGUUUUGGGCUUGUACACUUAUAAUUAGUAAUUAACACCUUUUUUUGUUUAGGGAUAUUCAGUAAUGCUAUAGCUUCAGUAGCUUUGCUCUCACCUAAAGGCCUGUCCCCACCACACAGGACAGCCUUCCUCCUGAUGAAGAUGUCUGUGUGUCAGAAGUUGGGAUGGCCUGACUCACUGCCAAAGAGGUGACAGGGAGGCUGGGAGCACCUUUGUUAAAUUGUGUACAGUUUUGUUAUAUAGGCCAGUGCUGUGGGGGUAUGUGUGUGAACACACGUACUUGUCUGAACUCUGCUUCUUCAGUUUUUCUCUGGGUCCAGUUCCCCAUCCCUGUGCCCCCUGUGCCUGAGUUCCUCCACCCUCUGCACUUGCCAGCCAAGUUGGGAGGCUGUUUGGAUGGGUUGGGCCGUUUCUGUCAUGGAGAUCUGGAACUUUGCACAUAUCAGUACUGGGAGCUGCAUGCUGUAGCGUCCACGAUGAGGCUCCUUCUUUACCUACCCUAUGUAUCAAUCACUACUGUGCUCCCCAAAGCACUAUUAUUUAUUCUCCAUCUGCCUGCACCAGCACUACUGUCAGCACAGUAAAUGGUUCUUGGAAGCUUACCAGUGUGGAUUUGGUCUGUGUCAGCCAUGCUGUUUAGGCAUACGUAUAAAUGUCCUGAUUUUAAAAUAUAAAUAUUCUUAAAAAUAAAUUAAAAUGUGUAUACUUAUAUU